rnacentral:rRNA from 1 species
UGAAACCUACGGGGCGCAGCAGUGGGGAAUAUUGCACAAUGGGGGAAACCCUGAUGCAGCGACGCCGCGUGAGUGAAGAAGUAUUUCGGUAUGUAAAGCUCUCUCAGCAGGGAAGAAAAAAGACGGUACCUGACUAAGAAGCCCCGGCUAACUACGUGCCAGCAGCCGCGGUAAUACGUAGGGGGCAAGCGUUAUCCGGAUUUACUGGGUGUAAGGGGAGCGUAGACGGCGCGGCAAGUCUGAAGUGAAAGGCAGG